rnacentral:rRNA from 1 species
UACGGAGGGAGCUAGCGUUGUUCGGAAUUACUGGGCGUAAAGGGCGCGUAGGCGGGAUGGCAAGUCGGUCGUGAAAUCCCUCGGCUCAACCGAGGAACGUCGAUCGAUACUGCUGUUCUUGAGGAUUGCAGAGGAGACUGGAAUUCCCGGUGUAGCGGUGAAAUGUGUAGAGAUCGGGAGGAACACCGGUGGCGAAGGCGGCUCACUGGCCCGGUACUGACGCUGAGGUGCGAAAGCGUGGGGAGCAAACAGG